AAGUCGUAACAAGGUUUCCGUAGGUGAACCUGCGGAAGGAUCAUUAAAGAAUCGGUGACCCUUGCGGUCCCAUUCUCACCCAAUGCGUACAUAACUUCAGUUGCUUUGGCUGGCCCUCGGGCCGGCCAGAGGACACAAACCCUUGAAUCUCUGAUGUCUGAGUACUAUAUAAUAGUUAAAACUUUCAACAACGGAUCUCUUGGUUCUG
rnacentral:misc_RNA from 1 species